rnacentral:lncRNA from 1 species
AUUAAAAACUCUCUUGAGUCCCUACUGUCAUCAGUAAGUUAAAUCUCCAUUACAACUACACCGUCCUAACAUCCUACUCCAUCCGAGGGAGGAACGAGAUGGCUUGAUUUGGAGUGGAAUCUACCACGAGAGCAAUUCACUGUGGCUAAGAGAAUGGAGUCCCACCAAAAAUAAGGCCACCUUGGGCAGUGACAAGAUUUUCGGGUAGGUGAAGUGAGCAAGGAAGAAACAAUCUACAUAUGAGAUAUCACUGUUCAUACGCUUCCUCUUUUUUUGAUUCUGUUGGCUUGACUGGGUAUCCGCCUGUAGAUA